rnacentral:rRNA from 1 species
AGAACGAACGCUGGCGGCAUGCCUAACACAUGCAAGUCGAACGCUUGCCCGGUUUCGGCCGGGCAGGAGUGGCGCACGGGUGAGUAGCGCGUGGGAACCUGCCCUGUUGUGGGGGAUAACCGAGGGAAACUUCGGCUAAUACCGCAUGCGCCCGGAGCAAUCCGGGGAAAGAUUUAUCGCAGCAGGAGGGGCCCGCGUCGGAUUAGGUAGUUGGUGGGGUAACGGCCCACCAAGCCUGUGAUCCGUAGCUGGUCUGAGAGGAUGAUCAGCCACACUGGGACUGAGACACGGCCCAGACUCCUACGGGAGGCAGCAGUGGGGAAUAUUGGACAAUGGGCGCAAGCCUGAUCCAGCAAUGCCGCGUGAGUGAUGAAGGCCUUAGGGUUGUAAAGCUCUUUCGCCCGCGACGAUGAUGACGGUAGCGGGAGAAGAAGCCCCGGCUAACUUCGCGCCAGCAGCCGCGGUAA